UGUGUGUACAACGAAGAGAACCGUUCGGCAAAAAAAGAAGAAAGAAAACUGCCCAUGGCGCACGAUCUCAAAGAGAAGCGAAUUGUGUCAAUAUGGGACUGUGGGAGUGUAGAUAUGGCCUCACUGUUGUUCACCCAAUCACCCGUAUCUCAGUUUACAGUUAAUACAAAUGGAGAAACACGACCCAGAACAGAAGAAAAUUAGCAAAAUUAAACCAAAGAGAGAUAUCAAAAUCGGUACAGAGUUUAAAGAUUUUACCUAACGGAGGAACCUGGCUAAUUGCUAUCUGGUAAUUGUGUAGUAUCUUUUUCCUUUGAUUUGGGUUUCCUUGCUGAUUGAUUUUUGUUUUUGUUUCCUAUGGUUUUCUUUCAACUUUCUCAAGUAUGUUAAAUAUAUGAGUAAUUUCUGAAUAACGUGGAAGUUGGUGUCUUGCUAUUAUUGAUUCCAGAUUUCCAGGUAUGUUUGGGUUUCCUUUUUUGUUUUUGUAUUCAAGUAAUCUUUUGGUAACCCAUUUGAGUGGGAAGCAGGCUUCUAUCUCUCUUGGCUUAGCACUGGAAGAUUUGGAGUUGAGGGUAUUCAGUUGCAAGAAGGUAUCUGAGUAAUUAUGGUUCCAGGGGUCCAUUCACUUGCAAUUGUCAUGACUGAAACAGAAAAAGAAAGACUUGAGCAAUACAAAGGUCUUGAAGAUUUGGAAUUUAUAUAAGGGCAAACCAGCUAUGGAUCCAUUGCAAUCACUAUGCAGAAGGAAAAAACAAGGUUAUCUGAUGAAUGUUUUAUGGGUUCGAGCAUCAAUGAAAAUUCAAUGUCCUUCGACGGAAAAAAAAAAAAAAAGAACCGAAUUCGAACGGACAAUGACACUCUUUAGACUAGCAAGAAACAUGGGACAACUGCAUUCUUUAUGUCAUCCUCAGUUGGUAAUGUGUGCACAGUAAUGGCAACGCUAUUAAGCCUGGAAUAUUCCUUCCCAAGGGAAAAGGUUUCAAGCAGUUAUUAGAGAUGGGAACUAGAGAAAGCCUCGCCCCUCAACUUGCUACUGCCUAAACUGUUAAAGCAAUGUAGUUAAAUUUAUAAGAUAUUUAUGCUCUUUGUGGCAAUCAAUUGUAUCUUUUUUAUUUCGUUACUUAUGUACGUAAAUGAAAUAUUUUCUCUCUUUUUGGUUAC